rnacentral:lncRNA from 1 species
CAUGAUUAAAAACUCAUUAACUUUGUAUAAAAAAAAAAUAAAAAAAAUCAUUAAGUGAUUAUCUAAGAAAAAACUUCAUAAACUGAAACAUUUCAUUAAGCAGGAAUAGAAACCAUAGACCAAACCUUUCAUCUCCAUCAGAAAGUCAAAACCAAAAAAUCAUAACCCAUGAUAAUAAUACAAGAAAACCACCCAAAACUAUCCCAAUUUUGCCCAGUUACGACUGAUAACAAUCCCAAAUUUACAAGAAAUCUUGACCCAUUUGCGACUGAUACAAACAAUCCCAAAUUUACAACCCAUGAGAAUAGAAGAAAACCACCCAAAACUUCAACAUCAUUUUCAAUUAUGAUAUUUUACCAUUUGAUGCAUCCUCAUUCAAUUUGGUAUUUUUCCCAAAAGUUGCAGAACCCAAAAAUUAAAGAGGCCAAAAGUUGUCAAUAGAUUCAGAUAGGUGUGGGUGAACCAAAUGACAAGGGCGAGUAGAAAAGCGAAGAUAAUUGUAUAUAGCGAUGGUGAUUUGAGAAGAGAAAAGAUGCGGUGAAGAUUGAGAAGAGAAGCACUAUGAUUGAGAAGAGUAUAGAAGCAACAAUUUGUAUAUUCAACAACGUUAAUCGAGAAGAAAAGAGAAUGAACAUAAUUUUAGGAUUUACGAGAAAAUAGGGUUCAGUUCUAAAAAAUUGGGGAUUGAUUUCAAUUUUACAGAUUUUUGUUAAAU